ensembl:miRNA gmo-mir-19a-1 gmo-mir-19a-1
AGUUCUGCAUAGUUGCACUACAAGAAUAGAAGAGUUGUGCAAAUCUAUGCAAAACUGA